AUUUGUGCAGUUUUAACCUGUUUUAUUAAACUAUUAUAUUAUAUGUGCCAGCUUCCUACGGAGUGACUUUAACACCUUUUGCGUUAACUCUGAACUGUUUUAUCGGGGAUCACAAAUAAAAUUAUUAAUCCUGAGGAUCAGUGACAUAAGGAUUUUGGCUUCAGGCUUAAUGCCAUGGUCAGUUGCUGAAAUCUUGAAACGGAAUUGCGUUUUGACCUAAAACAGUUAUAACCAGAUGUUCAGCAAGUUUAUAGAAAAUGAGAAAAAA